UGGAGCGCCCCACCCCCAUGCUGCGAUGCGAGGGGGCGGGGCGGUGGGGCGGCGCAUGCGCAUCGCGUCCCGGGCCCGUGCCGGCCGGGCGUGCCGCGGACGCCGUGUUACAGUCGGCGCCCCGUGGCCGGGUGGGGUGUUGAGUGUCUCGGGGGGCACCGGGGACGGACGCGGGCCGGGAUAAUGGUCCGGGCUGUUCCUAACCCCAGCGGGGAGGCGGGGCGGGGCGGGCGCGUGCGGUGGCUGCCUCGGGCCCUGGCGUUUCCGGAGGCGCCGGGUGUGCGUUGGGGGCAGCGCGGUCGUUAACGCGCCGUGUAACGUUUUCGCGCAAGGCCCAAGCGAGGGACUUCUCUUUGCGUUAGGGUUUGCUAUAGUAUUUGUCACCAGUAUCUAAACACUAGUCUGCAUGUUCCAGACUAUGCUGUGCUGAGAUGGACACCACAAUGAAUUUACUAUUCCCUGCUCUAGCUUUUCUUGACAGUCCUGUCAAAGCUCGUUCAGCUUCAAGUAUGGCAGCACUGAUAUACAGCUUCUCUUGAUGUCUACACCAUGACACCUAGAGGAGAGUCAUAAGAGUUUGCUUUAUCCGUCAUGCUGUGAAUUUGCUGCAGGGCCAGUUCACCCAACAGUUUCUGAGUGACUGUUUUACUUGUUUCUGAUCCUGCUUUUCACUUUGACGCUGGACAACACGUGUUGCUUGGUGCUGUCAGGGAGGAAUGUUAGACUUCAUCCUGCAGCCACAACAGCAGUGCCAGGAAAACACCCUGAGUAAGCCCAGGCCUGCUUUCUUGCACCUUGGUUUCACAGACUAAGAGAAGAGACAGAAUAUCUUCCUGGGAGUCCUUGUUGCUGUGACAGCUUUGCUUGCAGUCAAAUGGAGAUGCUGGGCCUGGACCUAAGCUCAGACUGAUAGGACCACACCAUCCUUGGGAUGUGGAACAAGAAGCUGCUGUCACAAAAAUUCCAGGUGCACAGGUGCACCGUUGAGAAACAUAACAAACAACAUGACAUAAGAGAUUUAGGGGAAUGAUGCCACAAUAUCCUCAAUAAAUUGUUUAGAUUCCUCUUUUGAAAAAUGAUUCUAAUCUUUCUCUCACAUUAUAGUGCCUGAUAAAUAACCCCUUCAAGUCACCACCUAACUCCCUCUUCCUUCUUUCUAUAUCUGUACUGAUUUCGCUUGUACAUAGUAUUGUUUUGUAUGUUUCCUUCAUUUGUCUCUCCCGAUAUUUCCAUUAUCUUCUUCUAUUAAUGAGUUUAAUCCUUGGGAUCAAUCAAAUUGUGUUAUGAUAUAAGACUUACCUAGAAUAAGAAGCAAAAAUUGUUUAAUACUAUCUUUGUCUUUCUCACUUUCUGGUGUCAGCCAGAAGUUUGCUGCACCCAAUUUCAGUGCCUCUGAAAAUCAGGGUGGUUGUGGAAGGAAAACUAUGUCUUAUUAUGGUACAUUUGUGGUUGUGUACUUUCCUGUAGAGAAGGCUAGCCUAGAGCUUCUGAAACUUUAAGUUUCCAAUUAAAUGCUCAAAUUGACAGAAGCGCCUUUAUUUCAACCUAAAUUCAUUGAGACCCAUUCCUUAAUUUGCAUAGAGGGAGAUUUUUCCUGUGUUACACACUCAAGAGCAGAAGGAUCAGAUCUCUAACUUAUUUUGUGAUUAUAUCAGUGCCUUUUAUGACAAGCAAGAACUGAUUUAUUCAUAACAGUAGUGUGUCUGCAUGACAAAUGUGUUUAUGUCCAAUGCAUCAAGUACUAAUUUAUGCCCUUCCACAUUGCACAGUAUGUUGACCCUUUCUGAGAUGCAGAAAUAGAAAGCUAAUGUACACAUGUCAGAUCAGAGGCUUUGAACAAACAUACGGUUCUUUCAGCUCAGUCUUAAGAAUUAUUCCACUGCCAACCUAAGCUCCUAAACUCAGCUGACAGAUACACUUUGUACAAAAGUCUAGCACUUGAUGUUCUUGGUAUUGCAACAGUUAGGAAGCUGGUGUUUGGUGAGAAAUUAUGUGAAGUCUCCAAGCAGGAAUAAACCAUAAAUGAGAAAUGAGAAUAUAUGCAAAUUCUCAUUUAUUACUUGUUUGUGGUGGUAAUUAUGCUCUUAGCAAAUCUCCAGACAUUCCGAGAUGCUUUCUUUCCUGACAAGUUUCAAGCAAUUUUUUUCUCUAAAGAUAUAAACUUCUGUUCUUUCUUCUGCCACAGUAUAUUUGAGAAGUUCCCAGUUUUCUUGAUCAAUAGUGAAGCAAGAUAAGCUCUUUCAUUUAUUUAACUGACAAGCCCUAUAUGAGAUGUUGCAAAAGCUAAGAAAUGGAUUCAGUACAGUUUUUUGACCAUCACACAGUGCAGUAAAAUCUUUAUAAAUGUUUUCAUUGUUUCCUUUUUUUAAAGUUUUUAAAUGCAUUUAAAUAAUUUUAAAGUAUUUUUCUUCCAAAUCUUUUAUGAACGUAAGAACAUACAGCUGAGAGUAUUUUAGAAGUCACACAAUUUGCUGAAAGAUGUUAGAUUACUCUGAUGAAGUUAUUUUUUGAAGCGAUAGAAGAACGCUCAUUUAUUUAUUAUUCACCUAAAAUAGUAGGCCUCUGUAAAAUUCACAUCUGAAUUCUUUCAUACCGCACACCUGCAAAUCAUGUGAAGAUACUCAAAAUUUUUUAUUGUGAAAACCAAUAGGAAAUACACUGCUGGCAGCUACCAUUGUUCUCUGUGUGAGACUGUAAGCUUCUAACUCAGGCAGUCUCCAGUUCAAUUUGAAAUCUUAGUAUUUAACGAUACAUGAUUAAAUAUAAAGGUUUUCUCUUUUUUGGAGGAAAUUUUAACUUGCUGUGAUGUGUACUAUGAAGAAAAAAAUAUUGUAUAUGCCUCUGCAUGGAUCCAGGACAGAAAUCUCAAUACAUACAAUGUUUUCUUUACUUACAAAGGAUUAAGGUAGAUUUUUAUUUUGUUUCAAUAGUUUAUGUUGACCAUUCAAGUUCCAAAUAUAUUUCACUGUAGCAAUAAUCUCUGAAAGCCAUUUUAGCUUGUUUCUAUCUGUCCUUUCUGCCUAAACUAAGUCAGUUGUAAAUGACCAUAGCUUCAGAGGAUGGAGGAAAAAGCAUAAUGCAAGUAGUCAUGCCUUCCAAAAUGUUGGAAAGAUGGAAAGCUAUUUAAAGAACAAAACAUGUCUCAGGAGCUACAGAAUCUCUGUGGACUGACAUAUGGCAGUCAUACGUCAGCAUAUGCCUAUGCUGCAUGUACAACAUAUAUCCAUUUGCUAAAAAUCUAUUUGUGUAAAAAGUUGUAGCAAGAAGACCUAGUUACAAUGCACUUAGAAAAGUGCAUCAGCGUAAUGAUAUGUUUAAUUUUUUAUUCUUUGCAGAAGCAGUCUUGCACAUUAUUUAUUAUUUUCUUGUUCCUUUUCUUGAUCUCUGAGGCAAUCCUGAUGGUUAAAAUAAAAUAAAACAAAAAUUGCUCUCCUUGUUAAAUCCUCAGUGUCAGGAAAGAUAGGACCAGCACUAAGAUCAACUAGAAAACAAGUAAUAUAAACUUUCUGAAGUUUUGACUUUUGUAUGACCCUUAUGUAAGAACAAGUCAAAUCUUUUGAAGUUGCAGUGGAAAGACUUGAAAAGAAGACUUGAAAAGCAUGUGUCUGUUGGGCAAGGCAUGUGGAAUUGGAGGGAAAGCGAAAAUAAUUUUGGCUUUCAUACCCUAACCACUGAGUCAUUCUGUAUGCUUGUCUCUGGUUUCUAGAACAGAAAUCCCAUUCUAGACCUGAAAAAUGUCCCUUAGGAAAAUUUUGCUGAAAUUAGUAUAAUAGUUUCAAACAGACAAAAAAAACCUGGGAAAUUUCCAACACUAGUCAGCUACAAACUAGCUGUGAGAUAUGGACUAAUCCAAUCCCCAUGUUUCUGAAAGAAACAUUCCUUCCUACAUCCAUAGUUGAGGAUAGCUCUUUGUUAGAGUUUUAAGGCCUGUAUUGAAACCGAUAAACUAUAUAUGUGCCUAUUCAGACAACCUAAAAGGCAGGUUAUUAUGAGCUGCAUAUAACAUAAACAAUUAACACAAAUAGUAGUGAAUAUUAUAUAAUAUUUGAUGAGUUUUAUUAUUUUCUACAUUACUCAAGUGUAAAUGGAAAGUGAGCAUUUUAGUUGAGAGUGCUGCAUGACUGUCAAAUAGUUUUAAGGAAGGAGACAAAGCUGUAAAACUUCCAAGUGCAAUGCAAUGUUGACUGAUGUACAUAAAUAAAGAAAGUGGAUUAUGUAUUUUCUUUCUAUCUGGAAA